UCUAGUGAAGCCUUAAUAUGCGCGACUCGAAAAAAUGCUGUUAUAGCCCUUUUAAUUUCAAAAGGGCGACGUCACAUAAAUGCUGGAACCCUUAGUAAUAAGAGCACCAGCAGCCAGAUUAUUCCUGGUUCACAGAUUAGAUGGUGACGGUUAAAUAAUCAGAGGUUUUCGUUAAACAAUCCUCUAGGAGAUAAAUCUUCAAGAGUUGUUGGUUUAGUAGGAUCAUGCCACAUCAUUAUAACGAUAUUCUGAUUAUUUGAUUAAGAUAUAAUCGGUCUACUGCUGCUAUAGGCGGUGAGAACAACGUUCCGUAGGUGAACCUGCGGAAGGAUCAUUAUCGAGUUAGGGUCUUCUGGGCCCCAAUCUCCAACCCUUGUCUAUAUUACCAUGUUGCUUUGGCGGGCCCGUCUUUAACCGGACGGUUGGGGGGUUUUCCCCCUGGCCCGUGCCCGUCAGUAGCCCCCAUAAAUUCUUGUCACAGUGGUGUCUAAGUCUCAAAAUAAUAACUAAAACUUUCAACAACGGAUCUCUUGGUUCUGGCAUCGAUGAAGAACGCAGCGAAAUGCGAUAAGUAAUGCGAAUUGCAGAAUUCCGUGAGUCAUCGAAUCUUUGAACGCACAUUGCGCCCUUUGGUAUUCCGAAGGGCAUGCCUGUUCGAGCGUCAUUAUCAACCCUCAAGCUCGGCUUGGUGUUGGGUCCCACCGCUGAGACAUUCGGUGGACCCGAAAGAUAAUGGCAGAGCCCGUGGGGACGCUGGAUGCAACGAGCUUUUCAGCACGCGUCUGGACGUCCUCCGGCCCGGUCUUACCAAAUCUACUUCUCAGAUUGACCUCGGAUCAGGUAGGGAUACCCGCUGAACUUAAGCAUAUCAAUAAGCGGAGGAAAAGAAACCAACAGGGAUUGCCUCAGUAACGGCGAGUGAAGCGGCAACAGCUCAAAUUUGAAAUCUGGCUCCUUUGGGGGUCCGAGUUGUAAUUUGUAGAGGAUGCUUCGGGUAAGGCUGCGGUCUAAUUUGCUUGGAACAGCGAGUCAUAGAGGGUGAGAAUCCCGUCUAGGAUGGCGAGCCGCGCCCGUGUGAAGCUCCUUCGACGAGUCGAGUUGUUUGGGAAUGCAGCUCUAAAUGGGUGGUAAAUUUCAUCUAAAGCUAAAUAUUGGCCAGAGACCGAUAGCGCACAAGUAGAGUGAUCGAAAGAUGAAAAGCACUUUGAAAAGAGAGUUAAACAGUAUGUGAAAUUGUUGAAAGGGAAGCGCUUGCAAUCAGACUUGAGUGUAACGGUUCCCCCGGUCUCUUUUGACCGGGUCACUCCGUUAUAUCCAGGCCAACAUCGGUUCGAGGGGUCGGUUAAAGACCCCGGGAAUGUAUCUACCUUCGGGUCGACUUAUAGCCCGGGGUGUAAUGCGGCCUCCCCGGACCGAGGAACGCGCUUCGGCUCGGAUGUUGGCGUAAUGGUUGUAAGCGGCCCGUCUUGAAACACGGACCAAGGAGUCUAACAUCUAUGCGAGUGUUUGGGUGUUAAACCCCUACGCGUAAUGAAAGUGAACGGAGGUAAGAACCCCGUUAAACGGGUGCAUUAUCGACCGAUCCUGAUGUCUUCGGAUGGAUUUGAGUAAGAGCAUAGCUGUUGGGACCCGAAAGAUGGUGAACUAUGCCUGAAUAGGGUGAAGCCAGAGGAAACUCUGGUGGAGGCUCGCAGCGGUUCUGACGUGCAAAUCGAUCGUCAAAUUUGGGCAUAGGGGCGAAAGACUAAUCGAACCAUCAAAGGAAUAAAAAAUAAGGGCUAUCGGGUGGUUCUUUAACAGUCCUUCGGGGCUACAUCGUCCUUCUGGCGGGGAUCAAUACCCGCAGCAGUUUCGGCUGUCCACAGACUAGGAGACGGUGGUCAUCUUCACCAGGAAAGAUGAUGAUGAUAUAGUCGGUUUGGUUAUCUGGUCUAACCAAGUUGUACGCUGGUAGCUGGUUCCUGUCGAAGUUUCCCUCAGGAUAGCAGUAACGUUUUCAGUUUUAUGAGGUAAAGCGAAUGAUUAGAGGCCUUGGGGUUGAAACAACCUUAACCUAUUCUCAAACUUUAAAUAUGUAAGAAGUCCUUGUUACUUAAUUGAACGUGGACAUUUGAAUGUAUCGUUACUAGUGGGCCAUUUUUGGUAAGCAGAACUGGCGAUGCGGGAUGAACCGAACGUGAGGUUAAGGUGCCGGAAUGUACGCUCAUCAGACACCACAAAAGGUGUCAAUGCAUCCAGACAGCCGGACGGUGGCCAUGGAAGUCGGAAUCCGCUUAGGAGUGUGUAACAACUCACCGGCCGAAUGCAUUGGCCCUGAAAAUGGAUGGCGCUUAAGCGUGCUACCUAUACCUCGCCGUUGGGGUUGAAAUGAUGCCCUAACGAGU
rnacentral:rRNA from 1 species